GGGGGAGGGGGGUGGGUUGGAAAGGGAGGUGAUGGGCCCGACAACGCGGUCGGAGAAAAGCACGCCGUGAAACCCGCGCUGGCUGGCCGGGGAGGGGCGGGUCUCUCCCCUCCGCUGACCUUCGGUUACAACAACAACCCCCACCGACCUGCAUUGAAAUAGCCCCGUCCUGAGUUUCUUCUCCAGGCUAAACGACGGACGAGAGAGAGAGAAGGAGGUGCAGACACUCAACUGUUCGACACCUAAACAAUACUGAGUGCGCACGUGCGCACAGUCUGGAAGCUGGAGAUGGAUUACGACAAGCGAGCAAGCCGGGGAGAACGUAUGGGGCGCUAUGGGAGUGAACGGAAGAAAGAGGAGGUGCCGGACACGCGGGACCACGACUACAGGGACAUGGACUACAGGUCGUACGACCGAGAGUACGAAUGUGACGGAGGCAAGGAGUACCUGCAGCAGGACUACAGAAACUACGAUCAGUCCG